GAUGAACGCUGGCGGCGUGCCUAAUACAUGCAAGUCGAACGAGAUCUUCGGAUCUAGUGGCGAACGGGUGAGUAACGCGUUGGUACCUACCCUGAAGUGGGGAAUAACUGGCCGAAAGGUCGGCUAAUACCGCAUAAUACCGCAAGGUUAAAGUCGUAAGACGCUUCGGGAGGGGCCUGCGUCCCAUUAGCUAGUUGGUGAGGUAACUGCUCACCAAGGCGACGAUGGGUAGCUGGAUCGAGAGGUUGACCAGCCACACUGGGACCGAGAUACGGCCCAGACUCCUACGGGAGGCAGCAGUAAGGAAUCUUCCACAAUGGGCGAAAGCCUGAUGAAGCAACGCCGCGUGCAGGAUGACGGUCUUCGGAUUGUAAACUGCUUUUAUAUGGGAAGAUUAUGACGGUACCAUAUGAAUAAGCACCGGCUAACUACGUGCCAGCCGCCGCGGUAA
rnacentral:rRNA from 1 species